rnacentral:rRNA from 1 species
AUUGAACGCUGGCGGCAGGCCUAACACAUGCACGUCGAACGCGUGGCGGACGGGUGAGUAAUGUCUGGGACACUGCCUGAUGGAGGGGGAUAACUACUGGAAACGGUAGCUAAUACCGCAUACCAUCAGAUGUGCCCAGAUGGGAUUAGCUAGUUGGUGGGGUAACGGCUCACCUAGGCGACGAUCCCUAGCUGGUCUGAGAGGAUGACCAGCCACACUGUAACUGAGACACGGGCCAGACUCCGAGGGGAGGCAGCAGUGGGGAAUAUUGCACAAUGGGCGCAAGCCUGAUGCAGCCAUGCCGCGUGUAUGAAGAAGGCCUUCGGGUUGUAAAGUACUUUCAGCGAGGAGGCGUUACUCGCAGAAGAAGCACCGGCUAACUCCGUGCCAGCAGCCGCGGUAAUAC